CGGUUAAGUUAGAAAGGGCGCACGGUGGAUGCCUUGGCACUAGGAGCCGAUGAAGGACGGGACGAACACCGAUAUGCUUCGGGGAGCUGUAAGCAAGCUUUGAUCCGGAGAUUUCCGAAUGGGGAAACCCACCACUCGUAAUGGAGUGGUAUCCAUAUCUGAAUACAUAGGAUAUGAGAAGGCAGACCCGGGGAACUGAAACAUCUAAGUACCCGGAGGAAGAGAAAGCAAAUGCGAUUCCCUGAGUAGCGGCGAGCGAAACGGGACCAGCCCAAACCAAGAGGCUUGCCUCUUGGGGUUGUAGGACACUCUGUACGGAGUUACAAAGGAACGAGGUAGAUGAAGAGGUCUGGAAAGGCCCGCCAUAGAAGGUAACAGCCCUGUAGUCAAAACUUCGUUCUCUCCUGAGUGGAUCCUGAGUACGGCGGAACACGUGAAAUUCCGUCGGAAUCCGGGAGGACCAUCUCCCAAGGCUAAAUACUCCCUAGUGACCGAUAGUGAACCAGUACCGUGAGGGAAAGGUGAAAAGCACCCCGGAAGGGGAGUGAAAGAGAUCCUGAAACCGUGUGCCUACAAGUAGUCAGAGCCCGUUAACGGGUGAUGGCGUGCCUUUUGUAGAAUGAACCGGCGAGUUACGAUCCCGUGCAAGGUUAAGCAGAAGAUGCGGAGCCGCAGCGAAAGCGAGUCUGAAUAGGGCGAAUUGAGUACGUGGUCGUAGACCCGAAACCAGGUGAUCUACCCAUGUCCAGGGUGAAGUUCAGGUAACACUGAAUGGAGGCCCGAACCCACGCACGUUGAAAAGUGCGGGGAUGAGGUGUGGGUAGGGGUGAAAUGCCAAUCGAACCUGGAGAUAGCUGGUUCUCUCCGAAAUAGCUUUAGGGCUAGCCUCAAGGUAAGAGUCUCGGAGGUAGAGCACUGAUUGGACUAGGGGCCCCUACCGGGUUACCGAAUUCAGUCAAACUCCGAAUGCCGAUGACUUAUCCUUGGGAGUCAGAC
rnacentral:rRNA from 1 species